rnacentral:rRNA from 1 species
AGAGUUUGAUCCUGGCUCAGGACGAACGCUGGCGGCGUGCCUAAUACAUGCAAGUAGAACGCUGAAGGAGGAGCUUGCUCUUCUGGAUGAGUUGCGAACGGGUGAGUAACGCGUAGGUAACCUGCCUGGUAGCGGGGGAUAACUAUUGGAAACGAUAGCUAAUACCGCAUAACAGUAGAUAUCGCAUGAUAGCUGCUUGAAAGGUGCAAUUGCACCACUACCAGAUGGACCUGCGUUGUAUUAGCUAGUUGGUGAGGUAACGGCUCACCAAGGCACGAUACAUAGCCGACCUGAGAGGGUGAUCGGCCACACUGGGACUGAGACACGGCCCAGACUCCUACGGGAGGCAGCAGUAGGGAAUCUUCGGCAAUGGACGGAAGUCUGACCGAGCAACGCCGCGUGAGUGAAGAAGGUUUUCGGAUCGUAAAGCUCUGUUGUAAGAGAAGAACGAGUGUGAGAGUGGAAAGUUCACACUGUGACGGUAUCUUACCAGAAAGGGACGGCUAACUACGUGCCAGCAGCCGCGGUAAUACGUAGGUCCCGAGCGUUGUCCGGAUUUAUUGGGCGUAAAGCGAGCGCAGGCGGUUAGAUAAG